GUAAGUAGUUCUUCUUUUCUGAGAACCAGGUACCCAGAAAUAUCUGCAGUCCAUGGAACUGGAUCAUUAACUCUUUAACUCACAGUUCAGUACAUGAUGUUAUGAUGUGGAAUAUCGAUUAAAAAAAUCAUGAAACCAUGACACUAAUUAAAAAUAAUUUCCUUCUUUGGCAUUUUAAAAGUUUUUAUUUAGAAAAUAUUUAAUUAUAUCUAUGAGUAUCACACAGUUUUGUGGAAUGCUUACUGCACUCAUAAAAAAAACAGACUGGACUUUUUGAAGUAAAAUAGAUUGUAAUUUCAGAAAAAUGAACUGAUUUAGUCUUGGUUUUGUGAUUUUUUUUCCCCUAAUGUAUCAUGCUAUGCAGGAUCAGCCUUCAUGGGCUUGGAAAAAAAAGGUAUUCAGUAAGUGGUCUAUUAAUUUCCAUACAGAAGUCAAUCUAUGUAUUAAUUUCCAAACAGUAUUCAAAUUUUUGCCAAAACAUGGGAUGACCUUCUAUUUGGAAAGUUUUCCUUACAAUUUCAAUAUAGAUGUAGUUUUUAUUUCUGAAUCUGACUUAGUGUUUUUUAAUAUCUCAUAAAUUAGAAUGUAAUAUGAACAAGUCUGUCCCAUGUCUAAGGUUAAGAAAAUAUAUUUUUUCCUUCCAGAGCAUAGAACAUGGCAAUAUAAGCAAAUGAUUUUUCUCCAGUUUUUCUGGAGAAAGAAAAUGAUGCUACUGUUGACUGUUCCUCCUUUGUAGUUGUUAAGACAGCUAUAAGAAGACUGGUGCAGAAACCUGCUCAACAAAAGCCUGUAGUCAUGUUGUUGAAGUGAUACGAGAAUGUCAUUUAUAGGUUAGUGUCUAUAAGUUAAGCCUGAAAUUAAGUUUCUGGAAACUUAGACUGAGCACCAAAACUGAACUUCUUGACAGAGAGAUGCAUGAACAUAUAUUCCUUAUGAAAACAAACAAACAAACAAACACAUGAAUUUCUCUUAAUUUAGAACUAUUAAUAUUAGACAUCAAAAAUAAAUAAAAAUUGUUGUUAGUGAUUAAUAUUGCUCUUACAGUGAGACUGGUGAAUUAAUUUAGUGGAAACUUUCUAUUUGUUAUUUCUAGAAAAACAGUUAUUUCAUUAAAAAAAAAAAAAAUCUGUAUGAAGAGUGUAACUUUUACAAAUAGAUUUUCCUUUCUGAAGUGUUCACACACGCACAAAGCCUUGUUUAGCUAUUAACCUUUUUUAAUCCACUGCAUGUGUACCAACAUAAAACAUAAGCCAUUCUGUGAUUCUAUGAAAAUAUCAAAAUCUUAGCAUUGAAGCAUGGAAGCAUAGAAUGCUUUGGGUUGAAAGGAGCUUCAAGAUCAUCUAGUUCCCACUCCACUGCCAUGGGAAGUCUACUGUCUGUUUGCCCAAAGCAUCACGCAACCUAGCCAUGAGCACUUUUGAACAGGACAUCCACAACUCUGUUCCAGUGCAGAAGAGUAAAUAAUUUCAUUUGAUAUCUAAUGUAACAGUUUAAAACCAAAAGAGGAAUGAUUUAGAUUAGAUGUUAUGGGGAGAAUUUUUACUGAAGGUGGUGAGGUUGUGGAAUAGGCUGCCCAGAAAAGUUGUGGAUGCUCCAUUCCUGGAGGUGCUCAAGACCAGGGCAGAUGAGACCCUGGGCAACUUGAUCCAGUGCCUGAGAUAGUGCUGGCAACCCUGCCCAUAGCUGGAACUAGAUGCUCUUUAAAUUUUCUUCCAACCCAAGCCAAACUAUGAUUCUAUAACAAUAAAAAUCUACCUUCCUAAAUUUAAAGCUGUUACCCCAAGUCCACUAACUACACACCCCAUCUAUCUUGUAGGUCCCCUUUAAGUACUGGGAGGUUAAAAUGAGGUCUCCUCAGAGCUUUUUCUUCUCUGGGCUGAACAACCACAACUCUCUCUCCCUUAACAGGGGAGCUGCUCCAACCCUCCAAUCAUCUUUGUAGUCCUCCUCUGGACCCACUCUAAUAGGCAUCUGUAUUUCUUUUGCUGUGGCCACCAGAGUGGAGUGAAGCACUCCAGCUUUCCAGUUGUUCACAUCUAGCCACUGCUGCUACACAACAUUGCGCUCUACCAUGAAAGACUGUAAAUACAAUGCAAUUUUAUUUUUGCCUUCAUAAACCCUGUUUCUUUUCUUUUUUUUUUGAAAAAAAAAAUCUAAUGAUAAAAGAUAAAAAUGUAAAGAAAUUGACUUCAGUCAAUCUUCAUGUAUUAUUAUUCAAUAGUCUUCUGUGCAUAUGGAGUAUUUAGAUACUGUUUUAUUAGCUACCUUGGGCAGAGAAAACCUGGUUUAAAAUGUUGAAAAUAAUAGGUUUCAGAGUGCAGUUAAAGAUAAAUAUGAGAUUAGGAUACCUUCUGUGAGGUGACAAGCACCUGCCAUCAUAUCAGUUAUAGACAUAUACAUUAUUUAGGCUGAGAUAGAAAAUAGUAAGUACUCCAGAGUUGGACUGAUUUCUUCAAAUUCACUUUUAUAGAUAUCUAUAUAUCUAUAAAAUAUAUCGGUAAUUUCUAUAUAUAUCAAUUAUACAGAUAAAUAUAUCAUAUAUUAUAUAGAAUAUAGAAUAUCUAUUAUAUAGAAAUAAUAUAUUUAUAUGUCUGAUUAUAUAAUAUUAUAUAUUAAAUAGAUACUUAUAUUACUAUAGAUUUAAGUGAUUUUUUUAAUUUAAUGUUUUCUUGUUAAGAUAAUUUUAUUAAUCAAAAAUGAUUAUUUUCUUGAUAAACUGAGAUCUAUAUAGAUAGAUAUAAACAUACAUAUAUAGAGAUAGAUGAUAUAGAUACAUAGAUAGAAGUAUAGAUGGUACAGUUGUUAUAGAUACUGAUAGUAGUGACAAUGAUUGUCUCCAACAGUCCAAUACUACUUUAAAUAUGCUGAAAAUAAAUGCAGCUAUUUUUGUUCUGCUGUGUUUUACAAAUAUUUAUAAUUAGCUUACUAUAUUGUAUGCCUAUAUGUGCUCACUAGCGAUAUAGACAUAUUUCAGCUUGAACCUUACUAGUCUUACUAGCAAAAUGAGGUUUAAAUACUACCUAUAUUCAUUACUUUUCAUAUAUUUAUUGCAUUUCAAAGAAAUAAAUCUAAAAAUGGUAAAGAAACAUGGUCAAAUUCCAUCUAAUAAGCAUGCAUUAAGUACAUAUUUAAGCAGUUCUACAAAUUUGGAAUACAGUAUUUUGCUUCUGUAUAUAUUUUGAAAGAUACUUGUUAAUUUUGGUUUGUUUGUUUAUUUGUUUGUUUGUUUUCUCCUCUCAUAAUGUAAUAUUUAAAGACAAAAAAUGUUUGGUUGGUUUUGAUGAUACAGGAACCUUUUUUUGUUUCUUAUAGACAAAAUAUUUAAUUCUCAGUUUGACUAUAAUAUCUGAUAUCAAUCCAGCAAAUACUUUAUUAGGAUUCUGAGAUGGCUGACUGUAAUUUUAAUAGCUAUGUAAUGAGUACUCCUAUGCUAUUCUGAACAAAGACAAUUAUAACAUGAAGUUAGUGCUAUGAGAACGCGGACAAUAUGUGUCUUAGAAGAUAAAAAUCGUCAUGUCUUGAUAUUGGCUUCUGCAGUCUAUUUGUUAAUGAUUUUUCAGAUGGUAAAAAGUAACACAGUAAUUUCCAUAAAAUUAAAAAGUGUAAAAAAUGGAAUAAUGUAAACAGUGUUGUCAGCAGUAAUAAGGAAGUGACUGUCACUCUGUACUCAACACUGGUGAGGCCGCACCUUGAGUACUGUUUGGGCCCUUCAGUGUGUCCAGAGAAUGGAAAUGAAACUGGUGAGGUGUCUGAAGCACAAGUCUUAUAAGAAGUGGCUGGGGAAGCUGGAAUUGUUAAGUCUGGAGAAGAGAAGGCUCAGCGGAGACCUUAUCGUUCUCUACAACUAUUUGAAGGGAGAAUGUGGAGAGGUGGGGGUUGGUCUCUUCUCCCAAGUAAUUAGAGAUAGGACUGGAAGGAAUGGCCUCAGUUGUCACCAGAGGAAAUUCAGGUUGGGCAUUAGGAAAUUUAUUCUCUGAGAGAGUGGGCAAUGUUGGAAUGGGCUUCCCAGGAGUCACUGUCCCUGGAGGUGUUCAAAUAUUUGUGGUAGGUGGGCGACUGGACUGGUUGAUCUUGAUGUCUUUUCCAACUUUGGUGAUUCUAUGAUUCUAGGAUUUUAGGAUUCUAUUUAAGUGCCAUAAGGUAAAAUUAUGAGUAUUACGUUGUCUGCAAAUAAAAUGAGUUUUGUGUCAGCAUAGUGCAUAUACUUCAGUGCAUUUUGCUAAGCUCUUUGAAACAGGCCAAAUAAACAAUAAAAUGUAUGGAUAAGUGCUCUGACUACUUUAAGUGCUCAUACUAUUGCAGGAAUUUUGUUUCUUAAUAUGAACCUAACACAAGAAAUGAUGUUUAUUAAUUUAAUCACAUUUCCUGAAACUAGAUCCUUUAAUUUCAUAUAAAUCAUGAAGGAAAAUAAUGACUACACUGAGGGAAAACAAACAAACAAACAAACAAACAUUAUUUUGAAAGAGUUUUUAGACUUGAGGAAAAAAAUUGUAAGGAAAAUUAGACUAUUUGUGACUGAAAGUGAAAUACCAAUGCAGGCAAAACAUAUAGUAUCAAUAUUUUUACAACGUGAAAUAAAGGAACAGUGUUGUUUUUGACACACACUGAGAAAUACAAUUGUAGUUUUGUUUAGCAUAACCUGUCUGGAUGUAUGCUGACAAUUCACACCUCUAUCACUGACAUACAAAAUCUAAUCCUUUGCGUAGACUUAGUUACGUAUUACUGAUAUUGUUUCAAUCAGAAAUAUUCUACAUACACAUAUUUUGGGUAAUUUCAUUAAGUACAGUUAUAACUAUUAUCUGAUCAAAUUAUAUAAUACAAUUAAAAAAAAAAAAUAGACCGUUGCAUAGUGCUAGAAAAAAUACAACAUAUAAUUGUAGCAUUCUCUGUGUGAUGUAUGUAAUACAAAUGCACAUGUACACAGAGUGCGUUAAAAAUUAUGCCAUGUUUAAUGUUUUCCUACCACGUUCACUUCUCAAUUUAUGCCCUCAAUUAAAUAUUUUCCUUUUCCUAUCUAAACAACACUUAUUAACCUUUUUAAUUUUGUUAGCAAUAAAAUGCAGUUUUUGCUUAAAUUACUGUGAAAAAUGAUCAGAGAGAAGUGCAUAAUCUUUCUCCUUGCCACUCUUCCCCCCAAGAUAAUCAACCCUCUCCCCCCAAAAUUGGAAACAAAUUAUAUAUUUCCUGGCAGCCAGUAAGAUUCUUUAUUGCCAGUACGUAAGAAAUAAUGAAAAGCCUUCCUAUUUCUGUAAUUCAAAUUCAUGAUAAUAGUUUUAGAGUAGAACAUGGUGUAAUUUAUUGUGAAUAUUAAAUGGAAUGGAAGUUUCAUGGGAUGUAAAUAAAACUGAGAUACUGGUAAUUUGCCUAGAGAAAUGAAUGCUAUUAUCAGUGGGUGACAUUUCUUAUGUAUGUAUUCUUAUACUUCACCAUGUUGACAAGAAUCAACAAUUGGCUUCCUCCCUUUCUGAAUAGAUAUCUGAAAUUCUAUAAAUUUACAGAGCAAGAUAUUGUAAAAUUGUGCAAUGAACUGUGUAAAAGUUGCCAUAUAAAUUUGUUUCUGAGAUUUUGUCUUUAAAAACUGUUUGAAAACAAGCGAACAUAAUCUUCUCUUGAAAAGACUUCCUGGCUAAUCACAGCACAAAUGAAGUAAGUGCUCAAAGGGAGCCCUUUUGUUUUAACUUUUAACAUAUUAGUUGGAGGAAAGAAGGCCACAGCAGAAAAAAAUAAAGAACAGUCCCAGUGAGCCAUACAACUUUAAAGAAAUAUCCAUAUCAGACUAGGCAGCUACUCCUAUUUAAAGUGCCAAAAAUGAAAAGCAAAGUUCAUAAAUUGAUUGUAUUAACAAGAAAACAGACAAACAAAAACCUCUUGUGAACAAUAUGGAUAUCUCAGUGGCUAAAACAUUUUAACAGCUGAGACUAUGGGUGUAGGUCCAUGAUGGGGUCUACUAUAAUGUGUAUAUUCAGUAUGGCGUAAUAAAUAUUUUCUUUCUUAGAAGAAAUUCAGGAUGAAACAUGCAUGAUAUAUGCAUAUUUCUCAGCUGUCCAGCUGAGAUAUAAUGCAUUGUGAUUUUAACUACCCUUCUAAAACUAUGUACUCACAGUAAGACAUUCCAUGUCUUUAAUUACAUACCAUUAAAUAGCUCUUCUUCUGAGGCCCAUAUAGUCUUCACUAUACUUCCAACCAAAAUUGCCAACUCUGAAGAAAAUAAACUAAUAGGUAAAUAUGUACAUUAAUUUGUAUAUACUGAACCUUUGGAUCUGCAUGGUAGACCCAGUGGAAACAUGUACUAAUGUAUGUACAAGGGUGAAAAUGCAGUAGGAGAUCCAACACUAGAAUAUAUGAUCAUGGUUUAGAAUUAGGGAUUCUUUCCUGGGACCAAUGGUCUAUUUGUAAUGAGUCUGAUGAAAUGCAAUGGCAAUUAAAAAAGGUAUUGAAAUCAAGGACUGAAUUACUAACAGGUGAGCACUGUCAUUCAACUGACAUAAAUAUAUAGUUCUGUGUAAAAAUCUAUGCUGUUAGGAUCAUUUACGUUAAAGUGGAAACAACAGCACAACUGAUACUGCAUAGGACCUCACUGUUAUUUAUAAGUUGACCUUGGAACAAAUGGAAUGUCUUCCUUAUAGAAUUUUGCUUCAUAGACAUGAAAUUAAAAUAAAAUAUUGAUAAAGUGUGUUAGAAAAAAAAGUUAUGUUUCUACUGCAAAAUGGGAAGGACUGAUAAUCAGUAAUCGAUAUGCUGUUUAGCCAACAAUAUAAGCAAAGAUUUCAGAAAGAACAUUGUUUGGAUUUUCUCUUUUAUAACAGAAACGUCAACAGGUUUUUGUACCAGAUGGAGUGUAUGCAGCAUCCUAUUGGGCAAGCAGUCAAGAGGGAAUUGCAAUAAUCUAAUCUUGAAAUAACAAAAACAUGAAUGACAUUGCUGCAACACUGCAGAAGUUCUCUAAGUAGUAGGACAAUAACAUACAUUUUUAUGUUUUUGAAAAUAUGAGAAGAAAGCUAUCAUCUGGAAUAGUUUUCCAACUCUUUUCUUUUAUGAUAAAAAAUGUAGUUUAAUUAAAGUGAUUAGAAGAUUAAAAGUAGUGUAAAGAUGUCUGUCUAAUAUCUAUAUAUUAGACUGAGAAAAUGAUAAUGAAGAAAAAAAGAAAAAUUAGUUAUGUACACAGUAUUUCAUCAAUAUUCAUAUCUAUAAUGUCACACUACUGCUACAGCCAGAAAGUCAGGAAGAUAUAUAUGUAUUUUAAAUAACAGACAAAACACUGUACAUUCAUAUAUAACACAGAUAUAAGAUCAAAAUAGUAACUUUGAGUUAUGCUUUGCUAUUUAAAUAUGGCAGUCUAACAAUGUGUCUUCCAGGAGUGCGUGGAAUUCCUGAUACUCUUGAAUCAUAUCUUCCAGUCCCAGAUGGCUGCCUCUGACACUGUAGGUCUUCUCAAAUGAAAAAAUGUUAGUGUGUAAGCAACUGAAUUAAAAUAUGAAUAUAUUCAAGUUUGUGAAUUUGAGAGUGUUGCAUGUAAACUGCCUAUACAGAAUGUAUCUUUACAAGGACUUCAGUAGACAGCCGAGUGCAAUUACACUAUAGAUAUGAAAAUGCAGAAAAUUCUUCUGGACCAUAGGAUUUUCGUCCAGUCCAUCCUUCUUCACCAUUGGCUGAAGACAUUCUGAAGGUUUCAGCGAACAUUCUAUUUUUGCACAGAAUGCAUCAGUUUUUAAGAUUAUUUUGUACAUUUUAGACUUGUUUUGUACCUAAAGUAGUCCAAAUAAAAGUUCAUUCACCCUACUUAUAUUUUUACAUUUGAAAAUUGUGAGACUAGAUGUACAACAGAAUAUAUCCUUUCUUAAGAGGAGAUUUAAAUUUAAAAUUAACUUAAAGUAUACUGAGGAAAAAGAAAAUAUUUCUUGCAUAUUAGUUCAUACAUGUUAUAUUGAAGUCUAUGUGUCUUGGUUUGGUUGAUUUGUUUGUUUUUGAUUUCUUGUCUGGUCAACAUACUUCUCCUUAAACAGUUUCCUUUCCAGGCAACAUUCUACUUCUCUUUCUUAUAGUGUUCUAGGAAAAUUCAUUUUAUUAUAAGAGUGGUAAAAUAAAUUUUAGCACUCCCUAGUUUCCCUUAGUAUAUCCUUAUUAGAAUGGAAAAUACUGAAGGGGAAUAACUUAGAAUUACUCUCUUGAAAAGUAGUUUAGAUGCAAGGAUGUACCAUCCCUAACAAAUAUUAGUAUGAAACUAACAUUGGAAAACUAUAAAAACUAUGAAGAACUAAAACAGAAAGCUAAAGGAAAAAAUGUAACUAUGAUGUAAUUAAAGUAUAUGUUUUAAAUAUAUUCUGUUCAGAAAUAGGAUAUGUCUGUGACACAGAAGAAUAUGCAUAGUUUUUGUCUUAACAGAAUGUCUUGGUAAGAGAAUCUUGAUUCUAACUUGCCUAGUUCGUCAAAAACAAGCAUUAUUAAUAAAGUUCACAAGGCCUUGGCCAACAAUUUAAAUCUUUCUUACAUAAUAUAUAUGCAGGCAAUAUGCAGUCAAUAUCCAAUACAUGAAUUUGAGUAUGUGUGUUUCUUCUUAAAGUGGUCCACAAUGGCACUGUAUGGGAACUGCAUAAUACUACUAAAGGGAAUUGCAGCUACUUUUACCACACCUUUUUUGCUAUUAUGUGGAUAUGUAGAGAGUAGAAAAAAGAUCAAGACCAUUCCUGGAAUGCUCUUCCUAGAGGUGUUAUAAAAAUAAAUGCCAUAGUUUCAGAAAAAAAUCCUGUAUCUAUUAUGAGAACUGUUUGAAAAAUGCAGAAUAUUCUCCAUCAUGAAUAGAAGAAUGAAAACCAGUGUAUGAAGACAGAUAAUCGAGCAUAACAUCAAAUCAGAAUAACUGAAAAUCUAACAGUGUGUUGUGGAGAUAGAUAAGGAAUUAUCUAUGAAUACAUUCUUGGAAUAAAUAAAUUUUAAACCACCAGAUAAACAACAUCAGUGUAACAACUGUAUAUGGCAGUGAUAGGACACCUUCACAAGAUUUCUGCAGACUACAUUGGUAUCUGUUAUUUGACAUUUUCUGCUCCUAGAACUGUUUGCUGUUGAAAUAGAUAGCAACAUUUAUAUCUCAAUUUACUUCCCAACAGUUAUGAUUAGUUUCUUGGUUUGUCUUUCAACUAUUUUCCUCUGAGGGAAAAUAAAUAAAUAAAUAAAUAAAUAAAUAUAUUAAUUAUAUCUCCUUAGAAAUAUUUUUUUCCUAUCAAUUCUACAUUUAAUG
ensembl:lncRNA